UACGAAGGGGGCUAGCGUUGCUCGGAAUCACUGGGCGUAAAGCGCACGUAGGCGGACUCUUAAGUCGGUGGUGAAAUCCUGGAGCUCAACUCCAGAACUGCCUCCGAUACUGGGAGCCUUCGAGUCCGGGAGAGGUGAGUGGAACUGCGAGUGUAGAGGUGAAAUUCGUAGAUAUUCGCAAGAACACCAGUGGCGAAGGCGGCUCACUGGCCCGGUACUGACGCUGAGGUGCGAAAGCGUGGGGAGCAAACAGG
rnacentral:rRNA from 2 species